GUGCCAGCAGCCGCGGUAAUACGGAGGGAGCUAGCGUUGUUCGGAAUUACUGGGCGUAAAGCACGCGUAGGCGGCUUUGUAAGUUAGGGGUGAAAUCCCGGGGCUCAACUCCGGAACUGCCUCUAAGACUGCAUCGCUUGAAUCCGGGAGAGGUGAGUGGAAUUCCGAGUGUAGAGGUGAAAUUCGUAGAUAUUCGGAAGAACACCAGUGGCGAAGGCGGCUCACUGGACCGGCAUUGACGCUGAGGUGCGAAAGCGUGGGGAGCAAACAGGAUUAGAAACCCGUGUAGUCC
rnacentral:rRNA from 1 species